rnacentral:lncRNA from 1 species
GCAAUUCUCCUGCCUCAGCCUCCCAAGUAGCUGGGAUUACAGAUCAUCUCUCUACUGACCUUUUAGUGGCUUAGCAUUUUGUUGCAAUGCACAAGUGAAGUUGGGAAACAGAGCCAAGUGACAAGCUGUGAAGUAACAGCUCAGCCUUCACAAAGCAAAUGUGCUUUGUGCACUUCCUUGCCAGAGCAGAUGUGGCCUUGGUGGACUGUGGGGAGCAUCAUCUCUCAGGUAGGAAAGAGACAAAUGGAAGCAAAAUAGCAAAAUGGUGAAGAGGAGGGUUCUAGAGGCAGAGAGCCCUGCAGUCCUGAGUCCUGAGUCCACCGUUUAACAGAGUGACUUUGCUCAGCCUGUGGAUUAUAAUGAAACUUGCCUGUUAUAGGAUCCAGUUUUUUAGGUGGUAGCAACAUGCUCAAGGAAGAUGCAGCCCCUUCCUCCAGCCUGAGAGAAUAAAGCAUCAUUGGCUUAUGCCAACCAUGGCAAUCCCAUUCCCCUUUUCUCAUGAUUGAUUUGGGAAUGGGCAAGUGACCCAGUUCUAACCAAUGAGACGAAAGAAAAAGUCUAUUGGUCAGCUUAUCUCAGAAGAUUUUUGUUUCCUGCUAUAAAGAGAAACAGUAAGUUCCUUCCUGCCUGACUUAAAUGCAAUUGUGUGCAAACAUGUUACUUGGAGCUACAGCAACGAUUCUGUGACCAUGAGGCAAUAAGCCAAGGACAAAGGAUAGAAUAGUGAAAAGACAGAGUAUUGGAUUUUUUUUAUGAUAUCAUUGAACUGCUGGACCAAUGUGGAACCAUCUACUUUUAGUCUUUCAUGAUUUGUGAGAUGAUUAAACAUUUCUUUUUUUUAGCCAUUAUUUCUUUUCUGUUACUUGCAACUGAAGACAUCCUACAUAAUACAAACACUAUCCAACUUGGAUUGUAAUUUAUCUAUUUUCAGAUCUGUGUGUUCUGUCUUACUGAUUUUUGUAUUCUUAGCACUGAGUAUAAGGCUGCUACUUAGUAAGACUUCAAUAAAUGACUGUUUAAAAAGG